GUUGUCGAAUCCGAUGAUCCU
rnacentral:snRNA from 1 species